rnacentral:tRNA from 1 species
GCCUCUGAAGGAUAGCAGCAAUCCGUUGGUCUUAGGAACCAAAAACCCUUGGUGCAAAUCCAAGCAGAGGCU